GCCUAGUUAGCUUAGUUGGUAGUGCGUCUGCCUUGUAAGCGCUAGGCCGCGGGUUCGGUUCCCGCCCGGGGCG
rfam:Asian citrus Psyllid, Diaphorina citri - Florida Strain, whole genome shotgun sequence.